GCCAGGCGUGGUGGUGCGCGCCUGUAAUCCCAGCUACUUGGGAGGCUGAGGCAGGAGAAUCGCUUGAACCCAGGAGGCGGAGGUUGCAGUGAGCAGAGACUAGGCCACUGCACUCCAGCCUGGAUGACAGAGUAAGACUCUGUCUCAA
rnacentral:SRP_RNA from 1 species